GCGGACGGGUGAGUAAUGCUUGGGAAUCUGGCUUAUGGAGGGGGAUAACUACGGGAAACUGUAGCUAAUACCGCGUAAUAUCGGAAGAUUAAAGACUGGGACUUUUGCCAGUUGCCAUAAGAUGAGCCCAAGUGGGAUUAGGUAGUUGGUGGGGUAAAGGCCUACCAAGCCAUCGAUCUCUAGCUGGUCUGAGAGGAUGACCAGCCACACUGGAACUGAGACACGGUCCAGACUCCUACGGGAGGCAGCAGUGGGGAAUAUUGCGCAAUGGGGGCAACCCUGACGCAGCCAUGCCGCGUGAAUGAAGAAGGCCUUCGGGUUGUAAAGUUCUUUCGGUGAUGAGGAAGGUUGUGAUGUUAAUAGCAUGACAAAUUGACGUUAGUCACAGAAGAAGCACCGGCUAACUCCGUGCCAGCAGCCGCGGUAAUACGGAGGGUGCGAGCGUUAAUCGGAAUAACUGGGCGUAAAGGGCACGCAGGCGGUGACUUAAGUGAGGUGUGAAAUCCCCGGGCUUAACCU
rnacentral:rRNA from 1 species